AAGGCAGUUCGUAAGCGAUAGCUUGACUUGCAAGUUCUGCUUUAGCGAGUGAGGUCGACCGUGACCGAGAACCCGCGCGCACACCUAACGUGGACUGAGAAUAACGAAUUGUUACGAACUUCGGUGCAUGGGCUGAACUAGCAAACACUUCUUUCUCUAAAACACAGGGUCCUAGUGGGCUCCGAGCGAGAGUGCAUUACUGACAUACACCUAUAACCGAUUGAAAAAUCGACGGUCAUAAAGCCUUCAAGCCCGCUAACAUUAUCUGCAAAUAAAAAUACCUCUUUUACAAGCUGGUACCGCCCAGGCUUUCGGCGAACGAGCUUCACGUGACCAGCUCUACUGUGGACCAAUAUUUCGAUGGCUAGGUUCACCACCACAUUUUUCUGAAAAUUUCUCUUCAGCAAGACGGCCAUUAUAACGAUGUUUAAGUGUCUCGCGUCUUCAGCCUUACCGCAACAUUACAAUAACAAAGAGGUGUUCAUACGUUGCAGUGGUUCUUUACAUCUUAUAUUUUGUCCUUCGUCAUUGGCAUACCCCAAGCUGUUUCGCCACUUCCGCCGGAACCGGUUACUGGGCGUGACGCAUCACGACGAAAUGUAGAAAAUAAAUUGCAUUUUAAACUACUUAG